ACAGAGUAGUGGGAGAAAGGGAGAGAAGGACACCGUAUCGUCAGCGAGAGUAGUACCAAUCGCGAGCCGAGUCGACGGAUAUAAUCGUGGCCGUUCGAGGGAAGCGCAUUCGAGGGUCGUCGUCGUCGCGCGUUCGAAGAAAGGAACGGAACGGAACGUGGACUGGACAAGAAGAAGGUUGAUAGAUGGAUGGAUAGAGUAAGAAGAAGAAAAUAAAGGACGUUAAAUCUACGUUAUAUAUCAUCGUGAUUACGAGGAUACGAGGAAUGAGAUCGCUAAAAGGGUCAAGCCUCGUUCUUGUGCUUCAAACUCGUCCUUUAUCUUUUAAAUCGUUAAAUUAUAGAGAAUGCGCGCACAUUUCCAUCCACGUUUAAUUAUAACAUUUUAUAAUUAAUUGUCCUGAUUGCGAAGGGGCAAAAGAAGAAAACGAAGGAGAAUAACGAUAAGGAAAAAUUGAAAAGUUUGGAAUGAUAAAGGCAAGAAGAAGAGCCGUUGACCUCCCAUUUCCUUUACGAUAAGGGAAAAGCGCAUAAUCGAAGCCGGAGAAGAGCGCGAGAAUCGCGAAAAGAAGGAAAUCGAGCGAACGAACGAACGAACGAGGGAGCGAGCGAGCGAACGAGUCGAAUUGAGUCGAGUUGAGUCGAGUUGAGUCGAGACGAGUCGAGUCGAGUCGAGUAGAUACGAGUCGAGUCGAGUCGAGUCGCGAGCCGUGUGGUGGCAGCCCAGUGACCCGUUUUCCCUUCACCCUCAAUCGAUGUACUCCUGUAUUACCGUUUAAAAGGGAACGAAAACAAAACACGAGCUUCGACGACGACCCUUUGGUCCUUCCUCGAGGAUAUCGGGAACACGGCAACACGCUACCCGUGACCCCCUUUUCAUUCCAAAUCGAUGUAGUCCUCGUUGAUCGAAAGAGACAGAGACAGAGAGAGAGAGAGAGAGAGAGAGAGAGAGAGAGAGAGAGAGAGAGAGAGAGGGAGAGAGAGUCACAGGGGCAGACAGAUUAAGAGAGAUAGACAGAUAAAGAGAUAGAUAGAUAGAUAAAUAGAUAGAUAGAUAGAUAAAUAGAUAAGUAGAUAGAUAGAUAUAGAGAGAAAGAGAGAGAGAGAGAGAAAGAGAGAAGGAAAAAGGGUUGAAAGUUCUAGCAGGAGGGAACGUCUAUUUCUUUUUCAAUCUUAAGAGCAACGUCCCUCGACGUCGUUCCAUGCUGGAUCCGAACGUUGGACCAGGUACGACGGAGAGGGAAGAGAGAAUGCGAGAACCUCAUAAAAGUCUGUGAAACAUGAUUUGUCAUACGGAUGUCGCGGGUGGUAAUCGUAAGACGAGCAACACCGACGACGAAGACGAGGACGACGACGAGGAGGACGAGAACGAGAACGACGAGAAUAAGGACGAUAAAGGUAGUGGCAGCGACGGCGACGACGACGACGACGACGACGACGACGACGACGACGACGACGGCGAAGAAGACAAGGAGGAGAACGAAAACAAGGAGGAGGACAAAAAGGAAGACGAGGGAACGAAUCUUAGGUGGAUUAUUAAGUUUAACGCGUUAGUGAGAAUUACUCUCAGCGAAGAGGGUAAAAUAAGAAGGAAAGGAAGAAGAAGAAGAGGAGAGAGAGAAAAAGGAAGAGGAGGAGGAGAAGGUAAAGGAGGAGAAGAAGAAGAAGAAGAAGAAGAAGAAGAAGAAGAAGAAGAAGAAGAAGAGGAAGAAGAAGAAGAAAAAGAAAGCGAGGGCGCAACGUCGCGGGCGUGUUCGCGGGCGUUCGGUGAUAAGGUGGUGCGUUCACCAGGUGUCGGAUGACUCGGCGACGAGGGCUUAGAUAUCCCGUAGUCGUAGAAAAGGCGCGUUACCCCGCGAUAAUAAUAAAUAUAAUAACAAGAGAAGUUUAUAUAUCGUUCGCAUAUUCAAGAGGAGAACGUACGCGCGAGUCCGUCGCGCUCUCUCGUCGGCGACGUCGCCGGUGUUGGCGCUGCAUAGCCGGCAUCCUAGCCAGGUCGCUGGUCAGCUUUCUGCCCAUCAACGCGUUAGACCCCGACCUCCGACCCGUGAUAAAACGCGUCCGAUAUCUUUAGACCGUGAUGGAGGACUUACCCGAUAUAUCGCACCUCACUCCGGAGGAGAGGCGCAUCAUCGAGGAGGUCAUGAUACGACAGAAGAAGGAAGAGGAAAAGGCAAAUGAGAUUAUGAGACGAAAACAGGAUGAGGUUCAAGUCCUUGAGGAAACGAUACGAGCCCGUUCGGAGAAACACAAGAAGGCUGGGAUGGAGCUUAACGCCACGUGUCAAGUAUGCAUGAAAACCAAGUUUGCCGACGGCAUUGGUCACAACUGCAACUACUGCCACAUCCGGUGCUGUGCACGUUGCGGUGGAAAGGUCACUUUACGUUCGCGUAGGGAAAUAUGGGUGUGCAUCCUCUGUCGGAAGAAGCAAGAGGUCCUUACGAUGACGAAGGCAGGUCUCGGUGCCGCGGACAACGCGAUGCUGCCACGAAUGCAGGAGGACAUGCAGGUGGGUGGUCCUCCGGGACUCGUGGACCAAACUCAGGAUAAGAGGCCGAAACUCGAGAGGGCGCACAGCGCAGCCGAGAAGGAGAACCUGCCUUUGCUGCAAAGAAGCGGAAGUCUGCUCAAAAGGCAGUAUUCCCAGCAAGAGCAGGUUCCAGGACGUCGGGUGUCCACAAGUGAUAGCGGAGUAGAGAUGUCUGUUUCACCUCAUUCGAGAAGUCUACCGACACCCCAUGUAGUCGUUGGUUCGUAUCCCGUUCAACAAACUCCAAGACAUCCUGGAGCCUACCCCGAGGACGAUCCUAGUCUGUACAGGGGUGAAAUCGACGGUCUCAUGAGACAACAUCCACAAAAUUAUCCGAGGCAACGACCGAUCUAUCAGGAUCAGAACUCUGACAUUGCAAUGGCGUAUGGUCAAUCAGGGACAGAGACCGGUCCUUCGCGUGGACCGGUACAUCCCUCGCAACAACAUACUGUGGUACAUCAAGCGCAAGGUACGCAUCCCUCUCAAUCAACUGCCUCAGGUCAGAGUACUCUUCAGCAACAAAGAAGUUAUAGUAGCAGCGAGGAAGAACGAAGUACGCCAGAAUGUGGUAGCGACGAGCCUGACGAGUCCGAGAAGGGAAAGGAUUACAAGAAGAACGCGGAUGAUCCAACUAUGGCUGCGAGCGAGGAUUCACGUGGAAAGAAUGUUAUCCACAAUGGGCAACAUCUCAUCGCAAGUAUUAUCAGCAUCAAAUUUGACGGUGAUCAUUCAUCGCGAGAACCGCGAAAAGUUGGGAACACAAUCGUCAAACGGAGUUGCCGGAGGAAUGGCAUUGAAUGUCGUGCCAAUAAUAGGAGGUUCACAGAGAGGAGGGGAAAAAAGACGGUACGAUUUGACGGAGGGACCAAUAUUGGCAGUCCUCAGGAGGAUUGGUCAUGGGAGGCCGAUCGGUUGGUUAGUCAAGACAGCGCAACCAAAGAUUCCGUUAUAGAGGAGACAUCAAGCACAUUCACGAGCAACAAGGAUAGCAAUAGGAAAGAAUUGUCCAAGCAUCCUUUCUCCUGGCAAGUCAGCAGAGAUGGUCAGAAGUUAAUCGGACACAUGGUCUUAAGAAAAUCCUUGGGUUCUGGGAGUAGUACAAGUAUACUCGGUCUCAAGGUCGUCGGUGGUAUACUCUUAGAGGAUGGUUCUAUGGGAGCCCUUAUCGAAAAAGUCAAGAAGGGUAGUACAGCUGACAUAGAAGGUCAAUUGAGACCAGGCGACGAGGUACUCAAAUGGAACGGUAGAUCUCUUCAGGAUAAAAGCUUUAGGGAUGUAUACGAGAUUAUCGCGGAAUCGAGGCAGGAAUCCAAAGUUGAAUUGAUAGUUUCGCGAAAUUUAUCGGCCGCAUUAGCACCGAGUACUACGACAAUGACGACAACGACGACGAUGGUAGCGCAACAACAGCAACAUCAACAACAACAGCAACAACAACAACAACAACAACAAGGACCACCGGGUUCGUCGAUGUCCGUACCGUCCAGGCGAAUUGCUGUACAACCACAAUGGAGACAAAAGCAAGAAUCCAUUUCCGGUUCUCAACAACCCCAUCACAAAGAUUAUAUGAUUUUUCGCAUUCCAGGUCUUAAGAAAUGCAUCCUAUGGGAAUUGUACGACGCGAGACGCGAGAAACCCUCGGUUUUAGUGACGUCACCUGGCUCACCGGAUCUACACGGUCAAGGACGUAUAAGGCAUGCCCGUAGAGCGGCACCAACAGGAAAUGCAAAUGUCGGUGGUAGUCUUCAAGUGAAGCUUUCCUUCGAUCCAAUUGCACUACAAUUAAUCGUCACCGUCGUUUAUGCAUCUAAUCUUACACCACGUCUCGAUGGACAACUGAGGAAUCCAUACGCCAAGAUCUUUCUACUUCCCGAUAGGAGCGAGAAGUCGAAGAGACGGACUAAAACGUUGGCUAACACGAACGAUCCAAGAUGGAAUCAGACUUUCAUUUACAACGGGAUAAGAAGAUCGGAGCUUAGAAAGAGAGCAUUGGAGAUUACAGUUUGGGAUUACGCGAGGUACGACGCGAACGAUUUUCUUGGUGAAGUCGUCAUAGAAUUGGCGGUUGCUCCAUUGGACGAUGAACCCGAAUGGCAUCCAUUGACGGUACACACGGAACAUCGGCAUUAUCAGGAGGCAGACGAUAUGGUGAUAACACCGGUGGAUUGCCAUCUUAGCCCGCCGUCGACAACAUCGAGAUUAAGCGAUUCCGACACUUCGGAGUGCGACAUCACGGAUUGCGACGUCUCCAGGGAACAGAGACGAACGGCUGACGGUGCCAGCAUAAGUAGUAUCGGCAGUUCCUCCAGGUUUCAUAAUAUGCCGUCAAAUUAUAAGCGCCACUAUUCUAGCCCCCCGCCGGAAAGAGAGCUGUACGUCGAUGGUGAACAUCGGAGUCGAAGGGAUAUGUCGCCUCAAGGUAGUAAAAGAGCUGCCCUUAUGGUCUCCCGUGAUCAACCAGCCUCGAUUUCCAGUUAUCAGACUUAUCGGAAGGACGAUAUUCAUCGUGGAAUGAUGGGUCACAGAUCCCACAGCGCAGCGCCAAUGGACUCACCUAACGUACGUUACCGUGGGAGAUCCCAAAGUCCCACCGGUCAUCGUUCUUUAUCUCCGCCCGAACACAGAUCCAUGCCUUAUUCGCACAGUUACAUGCCGAGAUUCGGUUCUAGAUCGGCAACAGCGACGCCUACCGGUUCGCCAAAGAAGCGUCAGCUUCCACAAAUUCCAGCAGCCCUUAAAGAGAGAGUAGCUCAAGAUCUUGAAGAAAGAGCAAGGUUUAUGAGGCAUCGUACUAGACAAGGACACAUUACAUAUAGGAGUACAGGAAUGGGAGGCUGGGAAAGACACUACAGCGGUCUUUCAGACUCGGAUCUACCAUCGAUCGGUCAUGAUCCAUUAUCCUUACCGCACAGUAAUGCUCACAGACUGCACAGACCACGAAGGGGGCAUUUAAGUCCGGACAAAGAUGUCCUUGGUGACCUUGGGGACUCCGACAUGGAGAGCAUAGCCUCCAUAACGAGCAGUGCCUUCAGUACGCAAUCGGAACGACCACGUGGAUCGAGGGGAUUAAUACCGACAGUUAAAAACGUUGUAAUACCCGGUGUCAUAUUCCCCUUGCCCCCGCCCCCUAGGCGCAAUAGGCGCAGGCACAGACUUAGGGUUCCCUGCAGCGAAUGUCACUGCCCCCCGAACAUGAAUCCCUCCAAGCCCAGGAGCAAAAACCCCUCGAAGCACAAUCCCGUCCCACAUCCCCUCGUACGGAGCAAGUCCGCAGUGGUACGCUCGUUGUACAGAAAGAUGCGUACGCCGUUCACGAGAUCGCAGACCGUCGACGAGAACAUGCUGAGAUAUUACAGUCCGGAGACCAGCGAGUACAGCGUCUCCGAGGGUUACAUACUCAAGCCGGAAGAGCUCACCGGUAGCUCGAAGAAUCGUAUACCGGAGAUAUACGUCGAGGACUGCCUGCAGGUCGACUUCAACGAUCGUUUCGUCGAGAAGUUUCGCGCCAACAACUCCUCCUCGUCGGCGUAUCGCUUGGAGUCCGGUUUGCGUAGACGCUCGCGUAGCUGGCAGGAUCGUACUAGCACAACGAGCGCCGUAAAAUCGAGGCCGCGAAAUGCCAAGAUCACGAGACUACUCCAACAAUCACCGUUUCUCUUAACCUCGAGCGUUUUAGCCCACCAACAGCCAAAACAACAGCAACGACAGCAGCAGCAGCAGCAGCAGCAGCAGCAACAGCAGCAACAACAGCAGCAGCAGCAGCAGCAGCAGCAGCAGCAGCUCGCCACUGCCGCCGCCACCGCCGUCGCAGUUGAUAAUAAAAGUCAUGACAUUAGGAACGUAGAUUUUAGCUUACGCCCGCGUAGGUCUUUUUUAUUUUCCAAGGCUAGAAGCUUCGAUUACGAUGUGAUAUAUGAUCCGUUCAGCGAUCGAUUUGGUACCACUAGGCUACGGGACACCGGCCUGUUGUCGCGCCGAGCCAAGAGUUUCGAGUACGAGACCAUUUCAAGCAACAUAUUCAGCGACGACAGUCUCAGAACGGCGAGGAGGAAGUUGAAGAGAAAUCUUUCUCUGAGCGACGCCGGUUACGGCGACAAGAUACCGGCGUUGGGGGAUCAGAGCAAGUCCUACUACGAUUCUAAUGGCGACGAUAAGCCGCCAAAGAGUUUGCUGAACAAGGAGCCCAAUUACGAUUACCUCACGAGCCAAGAUCACAAGCCAUUUUACGGUUACGAUUCGGAGCUCAGCGCGGGCGAAACAGAGAUUUACGUGCCGAGCUUCGAUAAACGGACGACGAGCAUAAUCGAGGACUAUCAUCACCAUCGACCUUACCCACCCCUAGAUCCGCGCCGUCUUACCACCGCCACGACGCUCACCGACGACCUUAGAUCCACCUUCGGCCGCGAGGACACUACCAAGAGGAAAUACGUCGAGUCCUCUUCUUAUCAGGAUCACGAUGCCACCACCUUCAACGCGCACAUAUCCGCCGAGAAGAGAACGAAGAAUCUCGACGACCCGGAUCUAUGUGAUCCUUUGAACGAUCACGUUUAUUGCAGCAUCGACGAGACAGUAUCAUCCUCGGACAAUUGUUACAAUGCAACCAGAAGUGACGACGAGUACGAUAGAGCGAGACGACUCGCCAUGAUUUCUUCUCUUCCGCCACGUAGACGAACCAAAAGUACCGACUCGUAUCUCGAGGACGAUUACGAACGUUACGAAAAUUGGGACGUCGAUUACGACGACGAGGACGAGGGUUUCAUCGAUCGUCGAAAUCACGAGGACUACGACGACGGGGACGAGGACCUCGACGAGGACGUCGAACGUUACGGUUACGAGAACGGAGACGAUAUGACCGGGACUGCGACUACGACGAUUACGACAAUGACGGGGACUACGACGACGAUGACGACGACUAACUUGCGUGAUAACGAUCGCUCGAUUUAUAAUCGUCGUCAUCAGGACGAUUAUUAUCGG